GACGAACGCUGGCGGCGCGCUUAACACAUGCAAGUCGAGCGAGAACCGGGCCUUCGGGCCUGGGGAAAGCGGCGAACGGGUGAGUAACACGUGGGUAACCUGCCCUCGGCACCGGGAUAGCUCGGGGAAACCCGGAUUAAUACCGGACGGCCUCCGGAGCCUUCGGGCGCCGGAGAAAAGGUGGCUUCGGCUUCCGGCUGGGGAUGGGCCUGCGGCGGAUUAGCUUGUUGGUGGGGUAACGGCUCACCAAGGCAACGAUCCGUAGCUGGUCUGAGAGGACGGUCGGCCACACGGGGACGGGGACACGGCCCAGACUCCCACGGGAGGCAGCAGUGGGGAAUCUUGCGCAAUGGCGAAAGCCUGACGCAGCGACGCCGCGUGCGGGAAGAAGGCCUUCGGGUUGUAAACCGCUUUCAGGAGGGACGAAGCCACUCGGGUUAAUAGCCAGAGGGUGACGGUACCUCCAGAAGAAGCCCCGGCUAACUACGUGCCAGCCGCCGCCGUAACAC
rnacentral:rRNA from 1 species